rnacentral:rRNA from 1 species
UACGGAGGGUGCAAGCGUUAUCCGGAUUCACUGGGUUUAAAGGGGGCGUAGGUGGGCAGGUAAGUCAGUGGUGAAAUCUCCGGGCUUAACUCGGAAACUGCCAUUGAUACUAUCUGUCUUGAAUACCGUGGAGGUCAGCGGAAUAUGUCAUGUAGCGGUGAAAUGCUUAGAUAUGACAUAGAACACCAAUUGCGAAGGCAGCUGGCUACACGAAUAUUGACACUGAUGCACGAAAGCGUGGGGAUCAAACAGG